UACGUAGGGCGCAAGCGUUAUCCGGAAUUAUUGGGCGUAAAGAGCUCGUAGGCGGUGUGUCGCGUCGGCCGUGAAAACCUGGGGCUUAACUCUGGGCGUGCGGUCGAUACGGGCAUCACUGGAGUUCGGCAGGGGAGACUGGAAUUCCUGGUGUAGCAGUGAAAUGCGUAGAUAUCAGGAGGAAUACCGAUGGCGAAGGCAGGUCUCUGGGCUGACACUGACGCUCAUGCACGAAAGCGUGGGGAGCAAACAGG
rnacentral:rRNA from 1 species